AUUGAACGCUGGCGGCAUGCCUUACACAUGCAAGUCGGACGGCAGCGCGGGAGCAAUCCUGGCGGCGAGUGGCGAACGGGUGAGUAAUACAUCGGAACAUGUCCAGUAGUGGGGGAUAGCCCGGCGAAAGCCGGAUUAAUACCGCAUACGAUCUAUGGAUGAAAGCGGGGGAUCGCAAGACCUCGCGCUAUUGGGGUGGCCGAUGGCGGAUUAGCUAGUUGGUGGGGUAAAGGCCUACCAAGGCGACGAUCCGUAGCUGGUCUGAGAGGACGACCAGCCACACUGGGACUGAGACACGGCCCAGACUCCUACGGGAGGCAGCAGUGGGGAAUUUUGGACAAUGGGGGCAACCCUGAUCCAGCAAUGCCGCGUGUGUGAAGAAGGCCUUCGGGUUGUAAAGCACUUUUGUCCGGGAAGAAGUCCCCUGCCCUAAUACGGCGGGG
rnacentral:rRNA from 1 species